rnacentral:lncRNA from 1 species
GAUGUUGAAGAUACAUACACAUUCAGCUCUUUCACCAUUCAGUUUCAUCUUUCAGCUGAAGUACUAGGCUACACAUUUAUUCCUGCAAAACUGUUCUAAAUUUGCUCAUUGACCGUAAAUUACAGGAGAAUGCAGAUACCCAGAGGGAAUUAAGCUAAUGAUACAACAGUGCAACCAACAGGGGAAUUCUUUUUUCAAGCCCCUUUCAGUGGUUGCUAAUGAACAGGGUGCCUCUGGCCAAAAUUAAGGCCCUGCAGCAGGUCAAACAAAGAUUCCCGGCUCCUG